CUACGGGGGGCAGCAGUGGGGAAUAUUGGGCAAUGGGCGCAAGCCUGACCCAGCAACGCCGCGUGAGGGAAGAAGGUUUUCGGAUUGUAAACCUCUGUCCCCCCUGACGAAACAAAUGACGGUAAGGGGGGAGGAAGCUCCGGCUAACUACGUGCCAGCAGCCGCGGUAAUACGUAGGGAGCGAGCGUUGUCCGGAAUUACUGGGCGUAAAGGGUGCGUAGGCGGCAUAUUAAGUCAGGUGUGAAAUUUUCGGGCUCAACCCGGAACCUGCAUUUGAAACUGAUAAGCUUGAGUGUGAGAGAGGUAAGUGGAAUUCCUAGUGUAGCGGCGAAAUGCGUAGAUAUUAGGAGGAACACCAGUGGCGAAGGCGACUUACUGGCUCAUAACUGACGCUGAGGCACGAAAGCGUGGGGAGCAAACAGGAUUAGAUACCCGUGUAGUC
rnacentral:rRNA from 1 species